rnacentral:rRNA from 1 species
AUUGAACGCUGGCGGCAGGCCUAACACAUGCAAGUCGAGCGGAUGAAGGGAGCUUGCUCCUGGAUUCAGCGGCGGACGGGUGAGUAAUGCCUAGGAAUCUGCCUGGUAGUGGGGGAUAACGUCCGGAAACGGGCGCUAAUACCGCAUACGUCCUGAGGGAGAAAGUGGGGGAUCUUCGGACCUCACGCUAUCAGAUGAGCCUAGGUCGGAUUAGCUAGUUGGUGGGGUAAAGGCCUACCAAGGCGACGAUCCGUAACUGGUCUGAGAGGAUGAUCAGUCACACGGAAACGGGAAAACGGUCCAGACUCCAACGGAAGGCAGCAGGGGGAAAAAUGGAAAAAGGGGGGAAAGCCGGAUCAAGCCAGGCCGGGUGUGGGAAGAAGGUCUUCGAAUUGAAAGGAAUUUAAAGUGGGGGGAAAGGCAAGAAGGUAAAAACCUGCUGGUUUUAAGGUAACAAACGAAUAAACACCGGCCAAAUUCGUU